UGUAAUACAUCCUGGACCAAAUAUGGUGUAGAUAAACUGAAUAUUUUGUUUAAUGAUGUGUGUUCUGUGUGUGUUCAGUAAAUCUGACAGAAGACAAUCAACAAGGUCAAAAUCAGACAGACUAUAAACAUGAAGCGAUCAGUACGUGGUCACGUCCUCUCUUCAUCUCAGUAAUACUGAACUGCGCUCUGGCUUUUACAGUUGCAGUGUUGACGGUGAGCUGCUGUGCAGGAUCGAAUUCCCUGCAAACUUCAAACUGUAAUAAACAGCAGCUCAGUGGAUCUCAGAUUUUCUUUCCACAAGCCGUGAAGCACGACACCUUCACCGUGGUUGUGUUUACUCAGCUCUCCCCCAAAGCCUAACAACCGCCUCUCCAAAACACUUUAUGGUGGUUUUUUCUUACCCUUCUACAGGACUGUGGUGACGUCUGCACAUCAACAGCAGCUCAUGCAAACUACAAUACAGACACAUACUGCUUUCUCGUGCCCCUUUAAUUUCAUCAAAUUUUUUAAGCUAAACUCAAACAGAAUAUCUGGUCAGAAUAAACACCUUUAACUUGCAAUAAAUUGAUAUGUGUGAUGGCUUUAUUGCAGGUCUCUUUGUGCUUUUUUUGUAACCGGGUCAUAAAAUAAUGUUGUAAAUUAAAUGUGUCUUACAAAAAACAUCAUGUCUAACACCUAAAGAUGAUGAUUAAACAUGCAGACCAUCUUCAAGUGUUUCUCAUUAUCAUUCACUCUUUAGUGCCUACAAUUCAAACACUAACAUACAUAACUGCAACUUAAAUU